CCGGCCUGGGGGAUGGGACCUGCUGCCUCGGUGUUGCAGCGCUUGUGGGCCACUAACCUUUACUUUAUCAUGGUCCCAAAGCAGAAGAAUAGUGAGGGGGGCAGUUAGGAUAGGCCAGAGAGAAGCCACAGAGUGGUUCUUUUAAGUGAAAAAGUGAAACUUUCCGACUUGACAAGGAAAGAAAUAAAAUAGUAUGCUGAGGCUGCAAAGAUCCACGAUAAAAGCAAUAUAGUAAGUCCGCAUGAUUUGUUCUAGUUGGAAUGUGGCUGAGGUUUUCGGGCUGUGGUGUGCUGUUCAGCCGAGUGGGCAGAAAUGCUGAUCAGUAGCUUCAAAUUGAAGACCAGAGUGAGGAGUAAAGAAAAAGUAUCUAUUGUCACCAGGUGUACACUGAAUGGUUGCUUUAUUCGAACAACUUCCAUCUUACUUCCUGAGGAGCAGCAUUAUAGUACCCAAGUGUCCUGAAGGAUUUGAUACAACAGCAAGCGUUUUGAGGUAGAGCCAGUGAUUGAGCCAGGUGUGAUCUUUGUCCAACUGUCUCUCACCUUGUUGAUAGGAGGGAUAUCUGAAACACUUCAUCUAUGACAGGUUCUGGGAAAUUAAAAUAAAUGAUCUGGAAGCCUCAGCUUUCUGAACAACCUUCUCUGGAAGUUGGAUAUGGUAAAGGCCUCUCUCCUGAGCAAACUGUAUUGCUGAUUAACCACCACUUUCAUAAACUUCAAGUGGGCCAUUCAAGCUGCCUCACCGCUGCUUAAUGUCCUGUACUGAGCAUGGUCUUCCCAUAGUGCCGACCAUGUUUUGUUUUUAUUAGGAAUUCACCUCGCCUUGUCUACUAAGAGGAAAGAAAAGGGAAAUCACACCUCAGAGCUCAGCAAGCCCAUAAAAUGGCAGAGAUUCCUGAAGAAGGCUGCCCUGAACCCCAAGGCCCCGGCUGCCUGCACUGUAAUGAAAUGCAUGACUAUGGAAGACAAUAAUAAUUGCAGCAAUGGCUCGUUCCAGCUCCCGGAUGAUUUGGUGCUGUCAGGAGUGCGCUGUCCUCUGACAUCCCAGGAGGCAAACGGCACCAGUGACUGCGGGCCCUGAUUGGGGCAGUGAAAUAUUGCUGGCAAAAAUUAAAAGGUCCCCGUGUCAAAAUAAUUCAUGAUAUGCAUAUCUUCCAUUCUGAUGAAACGGCUGAUAUCCGGAUUAGCAAGAUAAUAAAACUGAUCAGGCUACAGUUAAACAAUUUAAGUUGGAGAGCUGUUCAUUUUGUAGGUGUCACUUGUCAGAUCAAGGGGUCAAAGCAGAAUGAAAGGCUCUCCCCGGUAACCUUCCGAUGAUGUGGAUUUGGAAUGUUCUUCAUGAUUUGUCCAAAGUUUUCAUCAUCGGGCUGCCGACUAGCAUUACCGCGGCAGGCUGUGUUCUGACAUUCAAAUCCCCGGAAUGACAGGUUAUUAGGAGAGGAGAACUGGCUCUACAUACAUUAAGCACCAUAUCUCUGACCUGUAAUGUGAACUGAUAGUGAUAUUGUAAUUGAGUGAGUCUGAAAAAAAGGAGGGGAGAAUCUUUAUUAAAACACGGCAAUAGAAAGGAAAGCAUUUAUAUUUCCGAUGAUUUGUGGGUUUGUAAAAUAAGCUUUUUGGUGAUGAUUUAUUUUCGGUUUCUGGAAGGCUGAGUGGUGUGCAUAGUGUUUAUUUGGUGUAACAGUUAUUAAACUAAGAUAACACAAACUCUCUCAGCUUCUCUCCACAUGCUGAGCAGGCACAGAUCAAAAGAGAUUUGUUCUAUUAAAGGCAGGAGCUUUAAAAUGAACAAAAUGGACCCAAGUACAACCCAAGGCCAGGACUUCUCCUCGGGAUGUUUAUACCUUAUAGCUUUGGCUUCACCCCUCUGCCUGAGGCUGAGAUCUUACUUUUCCACGAGCCCCGUCAAGGGGGGUGGGUGGCCUCCCUUAUUGGUGUCAGUGACUCCAUUGUGGGGUGGUGUCAUGCACUGGGAAACUAAUUUAAUGUGCAUUAAUGGGGUCCUAGGUGAUAUCUUUCAUCUUUCUCGCGAAACACCCUAGUUUCAGGGAAUGAGGCAGGCAAAUCACUGAAUUCAGUGGUGGUUGUGGACCCUUGAAAGAGCCUGACUCUUUGGUGACCAUAAAGAAACUCAGUGUGUGGGAGCACCUUGGUGGCUUGGUUAGUUGAGCAUUUGACUCUUGGUUUCAGCUCAGGUCAAGAUGUUGGGGUUGUAGGAUCAAGCCCCACAUCAGGCUCUGACUUGGUAGGGAGUCUUUCUGAGAGUCUCUCUCUCUCUCUCCCCCUCCCUCUCUCUUUUGGCCCCUUCCCCACUUGCUUGCUC